UGGGGAAUAUUGGACAAUGGGGGCAACCCUGAUCCAGCGACGCCGCGUGUGUGAAGAAGGCCUGCGGGUUGUAAAGCACUUUUAGUGGGGAUGAAAAGUUCAGGGCUAAUACCUCUGGAUCUUGACCUAACCCAAAGAAAAAGCACCGGCUAACUCUGUGCCAGCAGCCGCGGUAAUACAGAGGGUGCAAGCGUUAAUCGGAAUUACUGGGCGUAAAGCGUGCGUAGACGGUUAUGUAAGUCGGGUGUGAAAGCCCCGGGCUCAACCUGGGAAUUGCAUUCGAGACUGUGUAGCUAGGGUACGGAAGAGGGAAGCGGAAUUUCAGGUGUAGCGGUGAAAUGCGUAGAUAUCUGAAGGAACACCAGUGGCGAAAGCGGCUUCCUGGUCCAGUACCGACGUUCAGGCACGAAAGCGUGGGGAGCAAACA
rnacentral:rRNA from 1 species